rnacentral:lncRNA from 1 species
AUGAUUGCUGCAUUGGUGCUGUGAGCUACUAUAAUUUUUGAUGGAGACAGUUUCAUCUUUAUUUCUUUUUCUUUCUCUUAUAUUGAUAGCAAAUUUUAAUUUGUUUACUAUCUUAGCAGACAUUUCUAGACUUGUCUAAGGCUGUGACUAUUAUUUUUUUUCUAUGGUAUUCUCUUAAGUGUUGGAUGUCUAUGUAAAAUUUUCAAUUUAUGUGUCAUUGAUAUUAUGAAACACUAGUAACAGUGAUUCCAUAUUCUGAUGCUUCAAAAUUUUUUCUCCUCAUCCCACAACUACUUCUUG